rnacentral:rRNA from 1 species
UACAGAGGUCUCAAGCGUUGUUCGGAUUCAUUGGGCGUAAAGGGUGUGUAGGUGGCGCCGUAAGUCGGGUGUGAAAUCUCGGGGCUUAACUCCGAAACUGCAUUCGAUACUGCGGUGCUUGAGGACUGGAGAGGAGACUGGAAUUCAUGGUGUAGCAGUGAAAUGCGUAGAGAUCAUGAGGAAGACCAGUGGCGAAGGCGGGUCUCUGGACAGUUCCUGACACUGAGACACGAAGGCCAGGGGGAGCAAACGGG